rnacentral:rRNA from 1 species
CAGUCGCCGCGGGAACACGAAGGGUGCAAGCGUUAAUCGGAAUUACUGGGCGUAAAGCGUGCGUAGGCGGUUUGUUAAGUCUGCUGUGAAAUCCCCGGGCUCAACCUGGGAAUGGCAGUGGAUACUGGCAAGCUAGAGUGUGUCAGAGGAUGGUGGAAUUCCCGGUGUAGCGGUGAAAUGCGUAGAGAUCGGGAGGAACAUCAGUGGCGAAGGCGGCCAUCUGGGACAACACUGACGCUGAGGCACGAAAGCGUGGGGAGCAAACAGGAUUAGAUACCCGAGUAGCCCUGUCUCUUAUACC